rnacentral:misc_RNA from 1 species
GAUGAAGAACGCAGCGAAAUGCGAUAAGUAAUGCGAAUUGCAGAAUUUCCGUGAGUCAUCGAAUCUUUGAACGCACAUUGCGCCCAUUGGUAUUCCGAUGGGCAUGCCUGUUCGAGCGUCAUUUAUCAACCCUCAAGCCCGGCUUGCGGUUGGGUCCCGCCGUGGGCGACCACGGCGGACCCGAAAGGUAAUGGCGGUGCCCGUGGGGCCCUGGACGCAGCGAGCUUCUCGGCACGCGUCCCGGCGGUCCCCGGCGCCGUCUCCACCAAUCCACCACGCAGAUUGACCUCGGAUCAGGUAGGGAUACCCGCUGAACUUAAGCAUAUCAAUAAGCGGAGGA